UAUUUUGAGCUACCAGAAGCAGAACUAGACCCAACUCCAACUGAAGCAAAUGUCCUCGAAGUACCGACAGUUGUUUCUUGCACAUGCAUGCUAUCAGCUGGGAUAUGUUUUGCUACAUUGUCGAAUUCCCCAUUCACAAUGUCAUCUAAUAUACUAUGUUGGUUGUCAAGUGGCAGUGAAAGAGUUCUAUACCAUAAUGUUCCUAAUUCUUCUUCUGUAGGAUGUAAUACUGCAAUUACUUGAAUCUGUAAUUGUAAAAAAAUAUUGGAAUGAUUUCUUUUAAAUUUGUUUAUAAACAAUGAAAUGUACAUAUAAUUGUAGAUUAAAAUAAAUCAUACCAUUCCAGCAGCCAAAAAUUGUUUAACCAUUUUCUCCGUCAAUAUUUUAUUUGGCUUUCAUUUGUGCAUUCGUGGACUUUGUAAUGUUUUAUAUCUACGUCGUCCAAAUUUUUGUCCAAUCUCAGGAAAUGUUUCAUAUAUCCAAUACUGCAAUAUAAGUAAAAAUAAAUAUUAGAAUUCUUACACAAAUAAAUUAUACACAAUAAGUAAAUAAAACAAUAGGAGAAAAAAAUACCUGGAAUGCAAGUGGAUAUCCACGUAAUGAAUACUUACAAUCUAUUUGUUCAUUCCGUUGCAUCCUUUGUACUCUUUCAUCAUGUGAUUCUUGUAAUGAGUUUAACAAAACAAAAUAUGCAUUACGACCCCAUGGAUAGACAAGGAAGUCAUUAAGCUGAUCAACCAUCCC
rnacentral:lncRNA from 1 species